rnacentral:rRNA from 1 species
GUCAUAUACCGGUUCUCGUUAGAUCACCGAAGUCAAGCAUCAUUGGGCGCGGUCAGUACUUGGGUGGGUGACCACCUGGGAACACCGCGUGCCGUU